GGUCAGCACCAACCUGGAGGGGAAUGAGACACUAAAAGUUGUAGAACUCGACAGAAGAGUGAACGCCACCUUUUAAAGAGGCUAUCGCCACCUCCCUCUGUCUCUUCACUUUGCCUUUACCUCUCCAAACCACCUUUUGUCAUAAGCUUUUCCUUUGUGCCCACCCAAUCUGGACGAAGACCUGGACCAGCGGUCCUGGCUCUGGAUGGGAGGACUGCCGGCCUGGAAUUUCCGCCUGCGUGCCAAAAAGAUACGGCCCGAUUCUCACCGGGGUGGGUGUGACCGCCUCCUUGAAGAAGAGCUGACUGUUGUUCACUCGAGACCCCACAAAAAUUUACCAGGAUGCUCGUUGGAAUCUGGCGAAGCACUGACUGACGUCCUGCCUUCCUCAGCCUGGCUCUGCGGUGCCCCGCGGGCGCCCCCUGCCGCUCUGCCCUGGGCCCCGGCCCAGGGUCCCUUCGCCGGAGCAAGGCGCCCCCUUCGUACUCUCAGGCCGCAAGUGCAAUGCCUGAAGGAAUCAGGCUUCUCUACUCCAGGCAAACCUGCCCCGUCAUGUUGCUUGUAGGAUUUCUCCACAGUCUGUGUCCCCACACGCCCCUAGUUCUGCCUCCCUGGCUUCUCCUCCCCAUUUGUAAAUAGUAUUUAUUAGCUUGCAGAGGCUUCCCCGGGCGACCACUGAAGACAUCGGGACGCCUCCCCUCCAGGCUCACAAGGUCCUCUGUUGGCCUGUGGAGCGAAGAGGGCAGCCUGGACUCUGGGAUUCCCCAUUCUUCCAGGCCGUGUUUUGUUUUGUGUUUUCUUCUUCUUUUUUUUUUGGCUGGAGGCUUCUAAUUAUAGUUGGGGAACCUCCCUAAGCAUGUGUCCUCCUGGAGCAUGAACUCAGAGGGGAAGAGGGAGCAGGGCUCAGGUCUGAGGCUCUGUGGACAGGUGCUUUUUCUGCCCUGUGCCCAUGCCAGGGAAGCCCUGACCCAGGCGUUUCAGACAGCCAUGCUAGCUCAGUUUUCCCCACCUGCCCCGACUC
rnacentral:lncRNA from 1 species